GCCUCGUUAGUUCAAUGGAUAGAACGCCAGACUUCUAAUCUGGAGGCUGCGGGUUCAACCCCCGCACGAGGUU